CGUGUAGGCGGGCAGGUAAGUCGGGCGUGAAAUCCCUGGGCUCAACCCAGGAACUGCACUCGAAACUACCAGUCUUGAGUACCGGAGAGGAAAGCGGAAUUCCUGGUGUAGAGGUGAAAUUCGUAGAUAUCAGGAGGAACACCAGUGGCGAAGGCGGCUUUCUGGACGGUAACUGACGCUGAGACGCGAAAGCGUGGGGAGAAACA
rnacentral:rRNA from 1 species